UGUUUGCGCCAUCGCCACCGGUACCGACAAUGUCAACAACACCCUCCAAUCCGUCCACACUCUUGCAGUGUUUCAUCAUUGCAUUUGCCAGUCCAACUAUCUGCAAAUACACAUAAAGUAGUCACAUGUUAAAAAACAGGAACUCAACAAACCUCGCUGAAGGAGGAGGAAGAAGAAGACGAUUUACUGAUCGAUUGAAUAGCAAAUUGAGGUCGAUUGAGCAGUUUCGAACCAUACGGCGCCGUUUCAACGGAUUUGGGGGCGAGAAACCGAACCUGAGCUUGGGAUGGAAAUUCAGGUGUUUUUGAGGUCGAAUUGGAGGAGAGAGAAAGUGAAAUUGAAGAAGGUUGGCUGUGGAAUAACGCCAUUGUUGAUGCAUUCAUCGUUGUUGUUGUUGGAUGUUGUCUGAAAAAGAAUUUGGAUUGUGAAAUGAGGAGCGAGAAUUGGGAUAAAAGAAGAACUCUCUCCGUAUAUGUAUGGAAGCAGUCAAGCUGGGAGUAACGUUGGCAAAAAUCUAUAAACGGGUUACGGACCCGGUCGAAUUACGGAGUAUGUAAAGUUGUCAACUCCUUUUGAGGGUUUAUUUCGUACCAAAUUAAAGUUGGACAAAAUUAGUUUAUAAUUUUAUAUGGGUGGUGGACAAAUUACAUGCUCGUCAAAUCAUUUCUAUUACUACCUCCGUUCCUAAAAGUUCUUUACGCUUUCCGUUUUAGUCCGUUCCUGAAAGUUCUUUACACUCCUA